AGGAUCUGCCUUCAGGAGAGGGAUAACGACUGGAAACGGUCGCUAAUACCUCAUAUGCCUACGGGUGAAAUGAUUUAUUGCCUGAAGAUGAACUUGCGUCAGAUUAGCUAGUUGGUGGGGUAAGGGCCUACCAAGGCGACGAUCUGUAGCUGGUCUGAGAGGAUGAUCAGCCACACUGGGACUGAGACACGGCCCAGACUCCUACGGGAGGCAGCAGUGGGGAAUUUUCCGCAAUGGGCGCAAGCCUGACGGAGCAAGACCGCGUGGGGGAUGAAUGCCUAAUGGUUGUAAACCCCUUUUCUCUGGGAAGAUGAUGACGGUACCAGAGGAAUCAGCCUCGGCUAACUCCGUGCCAGCAGCCGCGGUAAUACGGAGGAGGCAAGCGUUAUCCGGAAUUAUUGGGCGUAAAGCGUCCGUAGGUGGUUAAUCAAGUCUGCUGUUAAAGCGUGGGGCUUAACCUCAUAGAGGCAGUGGAAACUGAGAGACUAGAGUGCGGUAGGGGUCGAGGGAAUUCCCAGUGUAGCGGUGAAAUGCGUAGAUAUUGGGAAGAACACCAGUGGCGAAAGCGCUCGACUGGGCCUGCACUGACACUGAGGG
rnacentral:rRNA from 1 species